UACGUAGGGUGCGAGCGUUAAUCGGAAUUACUGGGCGUAAAGCGUGCGCAGGCGGUUUGUUAAGUCCGCUGUGAAAUCCCCGAGCUCAACUUGGGAAUUGCAGUGGAUACUGGCAAGCUGGAGUAUGGUAGAGGAAGGUGGAAUUCCCGGUGUAGCAGUGAAAUACGUAGAUAUCAGGAGGAACACCGGUGGCGAAGGCGGCGACCUGGUCCAAUAUUGACACUCAUACACGAAAGCGUGGGGAUCAAACAGG
rnacentral:rRNA from 1 species